ACGGAGGGUGCAAGCGUUAUUCGGAAUCAUUGGGUGUAAAGCGCGUGUAGGCGGCUUAGUAAGUCAGAUGUGAAAGCUCCGGGCUUAACUCGGAAAGUGCAUUUGAAACUGCUAGGCUUGAGUCCGGGAGAGGAAGGUGGAAUUCCCAGUGUAGAGGUGAAAUGCGUAGAUAUGGGGAGGAACACCGGUGGCGAGGGCGACCAUCUGGACCGAAACUGACGCUAGGCCGCGUAAGUGUGUGGAGCUAACAG
rnacentral:rRNA from 1 species